UAAGUAAGCGGAGGAAAAGAAACUAAAUAGGAUUCCCUUAGUAAUGGCGAAUGAACAGGGAUCAGCUCAGGAUGGAAAUCGGGGCCCUCGGCCUUGAAUUGUAAUCUGGAGAUGCAUUACCAACUGGGGCACAGAUGUAAGCCUCUUGGAAAAGAGCAUCAGUGAGGGUGAGAAUCCCGCAUGUCAUCUGUAGUCCUCAGUGUACGGUGUGCAUUCUAAGAGUCACACUCCUCGGGACUGGAGUGCAAAUUGGGUGGUAAAUUUCAUCUAAAGCUAAAUAUUUGUUCGAGACCGAUAGCAAACAAGUACCAUGAGGGAAAGGUGAAAAGGACUUUGAGAAGAGAGUUAAAAGUGCCUGAAAUUGCUGAAAGAGAAGCGAAUGGAACCAGUCAAACUUGGCAAGAUUGUCGCGAGCCAGCGGGAUUGCUCGUUACUUCAACGUAAGUGUGGUAGCGGGUUUUGAUCGUGACGUUCGUGGUGUUUCUUGCUUGGCCUGUCAACUUCAGUUCUCGGGUGAGGAAAACUUCAAGGACCUGGUAGCUUGGCAUCCGCUGAGUGAAUGUGCUUGUGGGAACUCAUCUGUGGUCUGAUCGUUGAUGAAAUGGUUCCAUCCGACCG
rnacentral:rRNA from 1 species